rnacentral:lncRNA from 1 species
UGAAUGAAAAAUGGCUUGUAGGAAACAGUAAAAGAUGUCCCAAAUGUAGGGUGUCCAUUGAGAUGAGGAGAAAGCAUUAGUGAAAGAGUAUUUGGGAGCUGAUAGAAAGACAAAAUUGCAAAUAGAAGCUAAAAAUGGAAAAAAACUGGUAAGAUUGGUCAACACAUCACUGAAUGAAAAAUGGCUUGUAGGAAACAGUAAAAGAUGUCCCAAAUGUAGGGUGUCCAUUGAGAUGAGGAGAAAGCAUUAGUGAAAGAGUAUUUGGGAGCUGAUAGAAAGACAAAAUUGCAAAUAGAAGCUAAAAAUGGAAAAAAACUGGUAAGAUUGGUCAACACAUCACUGAAUGAAAAAUGGCUUGUAGGAAACAGUAAAAGAUGUCCCAAAUGUAGGGUGUCCAUUGAGAUGAGGAGAAAGCAUUAGUGAAAGAGUAUUUGGGAGCUGAUAGAAAGACAAAAUUGCAAAUAGAAGCUAAAAAUGGAAAAAAACUGGUAAGAUUGGUCAACACAUCACUGAAUGAAAAAUGGCUUGUAGGAAACAGUAAAAGAUGUCCCAAAUGUA